rnacentral:rRNA from 1 species
UAGUGAGUUUGAUCCUGGCUCAGGAUGAACGCUGGCGUUCUGCUUAACACAUGCAAGUCGAACGGUCACUUCGGUGAUAGUGGCGGACGGGUGAGUAACGCGUGAGAAACUGCCCCUUGGACCGGGACAACAGUUGGAAACGGCUGCUAAUACCGAAUGUGCCCUUGGGUGAAAGAGAUAUUGCCUAGAGAUGAGCUCGCGUCAGAUUAGCUAGUAGGUGUGGUAAAGGCGCACCUAGGCAUCGAUCUGUAGCUGGUCUGAGAGGACGAUCAGCCACACUGGAACUGAGACACGGUCCAGACUCC